rnacentral:rRNA from 1 species
UACGGAGGAUCCAAGCGUUAUCCGGAUUUAUUGGGUUUAAAGGGUGCGUAGGCGGAAUAGUAAGUCAGUGGUGAAAACCUGCAGCUUAACUGCAGAACUGCCAUUGAUACUGCUAAUCUUGAGUACAUUUGAUGUGGGCGGAAUGUGUCAUGUAGCGGUGAAAUGCAUAGAUAUGACACAGAACACCGAUUGCGAAGGCAGCUCACAAAACUGUAACUGACGCUGAGGCACGAAAGCGUGGGGAGCAAAAGGG